CUUUAGAAUGUUCCAUUCAAUUUGAUUAAUUACGCUCGAAUUAUCUACACAAUCGUUCUCCUAGCUUCCGGGAAUCCGCCAUUGACACAGAGCUUUUGCAGCCUGGCCGAACACAAUCAAGGUUUUCAGGACAACAGUUGAAGUUUGGUUUCAUUCACAAAAAUCUUUGCAACCUCAACAUUUCAGACUACACUUUCACCCUUGUACACUUCAUGUUUGCAUGUCCUAACCCCUGAAGCUACAUCCAAGGUGAUGAACAGCGCGAGAUCUAAAGCAAUCAACGCCGCCGAUAAGAAGAAAAACCGAUCCAUAUGCCCUUCGUUCAAAUUUGGCGAUAUCCAUCCGGGCUUACCGUGCUUCGA